AUUGAACGUUGGCGGCAGCCCUAUCACAUGCAAGUCGAACGAGUGGCGGCCGGGUGAGUAAUGUCUGGGAAACUGCCUGCUGGAGGGGGCUAACUCCUGGAAACGGUAGCUAACACCGCAUACCCUCAGCUGUGCCCAGAUGGGAUUCGCGAGUUGGUGGGGUAACGGCUCACCAAGGCGACGAUCCCUAGCUGGUCUGAGAGGGUGGACAGCCACACUUGAACUUAGACACGGUCGAGACUCCGACGGGAGGAAGCCGGGGGGAAGAUCGCACAAGAGGCGCAAGCCUGAGAGAGCCAUGCCGGGUGGAUGAAGAAGGCCUUCGGGUUGUAGAGUACUUUCGAAGGGGAGGCGUUACACGCAGAAGAAGCACCGGCAAACGCGGAGCCAGCAGCAGCGGUAAUAC
rnacentral:rRNA from 1 species